AUUUACGGUAACACAGAUUGCUUAAAACAAGGAUGCCAGCCUCAGAAUGCAUUAACUUUGACAUAGACUAUGAACCCAGGGAGAGUGCCAGGGAGAGAAGAAAAAAAAAGGUCAUUAAAUUUGCAGCCUUCUUCCUUGCUCCACCGGCCACUUACGAGGACCAUCCCCCAUCCCUACCUUUUGUCUCUGAGAGCUGCGGUUUGGCGUUCGAAGCCCGGAAGCGCCGGGCUGGUGCCUGGUUGGCCUGCCCCCUCUCGUCUCCUCAAAGCUGCUGGCAGAUGAAAUAUUUAUGACUUCUAUGGCUUGAAAACCUCACAUUCCAUUUGAAGUGCUGCAGCUACUCGGAUACUGCCCCCACUGAUGGCAACUGCCGCCGCCAUUUUCCUUCGACCGGCACUCUCCUUCCCAGCGGGAGGUGCGAAUCAAGGUGUGAGGGCGGGACGGCAUCCAGAGCUUUUCUGCUUUUCACUCUUGAAGGACAGAUUUGAGGAGAGCUGCAUGUAUGAACGUGACAAUCCAUCAAGACAGCAAAAAUGAUGUCCCAAAAUACACGCAUGCAACACAGCAUCAUUAAAAAAAAAAAAAAAAAUCAUUUUGUUUCUGUCUAAAAAGGUCUUACAGUGUCAUUUGGUCAUAAAAAUAUAAAUUCAUGAGCUUGUGCAAGUGUACUUUAAUAAGUGUCUGGAUGUCCUACAUAUUACACUUCUACUAUUCUAAUGCUGUACUAUACUGAAUGACUCUCAAGACAAUGUGUGUUUUUUUUUUGUUUUUUUUUAAAGCAUACUGCUUAUUUGAAGAGACCGAAUUGUUGUACGUGAUUGUGAAUGCUUGUCUAUAUUUGUAUCCUGCAAAUGGGUGGACACCAGUCAAGGGUGUACCCCAUUUCUCACCCAACGUCAGAUAAAAUAAGCCACAGCGCACACACCGUGACCCUAAUAAGGAUAAGUGGUAUAGAAAUGGCAUUGACUGAAGGCAUAAUGUAACCACUACUGACCAGUGUAUUUUAAUAAUAAAUGUAUGGGUGUCAUCUUAUGACACCUCACCAUCACCAGUCACAACAACCUGAGAAUGUGUUUUCGCACAUCAGUCUCAAUAUUCUAAGUGUGUGAAAAGAGGAAAUACACAUAUGUUUGCUUUGUG